UUGUGGCCUUGAGCCGUGGCUUUCGGAGCUAACGCGUUAAAUCGACCGCCUGGGGAGUACGGCCGCAAGGUUAAAACUCAAAUGAAUUGACGGGGGCCCGCACAGGCGGUGGAGCAUGUGGUUUAAUUCGAUGCAACGCGAAGAACCUUACCUACUCUUGACAUCCAGAGAAGACUUCAGAGAUGAGGUUGUGCCUUCGGGAACUCUGAGACAGGUGCUGCAUGGCUGUCGUCAGCUCGUGUUGUGAAAUGUUGGGUUAAGUCCCGCAACGAGCGCAACCCUUAUCCUUUGUUGCCAGCGCGUGAUGGCGGGAACUCAAAGGAGACUGCCGGUGACAAACCGGAGGAAGGUGGGGAUGACGUCAAGUCAUCAUGGCCCUUACGAGUAGGGCUACACACGUGCUACAAUGGCGCAUACAAAGAGAAGCGAACUCGCGAGAGAAAGCGGACCUCAUAAAGUGCGUCGUAGUCCGGAUUGGAGUCUGCAACUCGACUCCAUGAAGUCGGAAUCGCUAGUAAUCGUGGAUCAGAAUGCCACGGUGAAUACGUUCCCGGGCCUUGUACACACCGCCCGUCACACCAUGGGAGUGGGUUGCAAAAGAAGUAGGUAGCUUAACCUUCGGGAGGGCGCUUACCACUUUGUGAUUCAUGACUGGGGUGAAGUCGUAACAAGGUAGCCG
rnacentral:rRNA from 1 species